rnacentral:rRNA from 1 species
AGUGCAUGUGGUGGAUGCCUUGGCAGUCAGAGGCGAUGAAAGACGUGAUAGCCUGCGAAAAGCUCCGGGGAGGCGGCAAAUAUCCUUUGAUCCGGAGAUGUCUGAAUGGGGGAACCCACCUACUUUAAGGUAGGUAUUGCAACAUGAAUACAUAGUGUUGCAAGGCGAACGAGGGGAAGUGAAACAUCUCAGUACCCUUAGGAAAAGAAAUCAAUUGAGAUUCCCUCAGUAGCGGCGAGCGAACGGGGAUCAGCCCAUUAAGUUAUGUGUGUUUUAGUGGAACGCUCUGGGAAGUGCGAACGUAGAGGGUGAUAUUCCCGUACACGAAAGGGCACACAUAAUGAUGACGAGUAGGGCGAGGCACGUGAAACCUUGUCUGAAUAUGGGGGGACCAUCCUCCAAGGCUAAAUACUCCUGACUGACCGAUAGUGAACCAGUACCGUGAGGGAAAGGCGAAAAGAACCCCUGUGAGGGGAGUGAAAUAGAUCCUGAAACCGCAUGCAUACAAGCAGUGGGAGCACCUUCGUGGUGUGACUGCGUACCUUUUGUAUAAUGGGUCAGCGACUUAUAUUCAGUAGCGAGGUUAACCGUAUAGGGGAGCCGUAGAGAAAUCGAGUCUUAAUAGGGCGUUUAGUUGCUGGGUAUAGACCCGAAACCAGGCGAUCUAUCCAUGAGCAGGUUGAAGGUUGGGUAACACUAACUGGAGGACCGAACCCACUGUCGUUGAAAAGCCAGGGGAUGACUUGUGGAUAGGGGUGAAAGGCUAAUCAAGCCUGGUGAUAGCUGGUUCUCCCCGAAAGCUAUUUAGGUAGCGCCUCGGACGAAUACCAUAGGGGGUAGAGCACUGUUUCGGCUAGGGGGUCAUCCCGACUUACCAAACCGAUGCAAACUCCGAAUACCUAUGAGUACUAGUCCGGGAGACAGACUGGCGGGUGAUAACGUCCGUAGUCAAGAGGAAAACAAUCCAGACCGCCAGCUAAGGCCCCAAAAUCAUAGUUAAGUGGGAAACGAUGUGGGAAGGCAUAGACAGCUAGGAGGUUGGCUUAGAAGCAGCCACCCUUUAAAGAAAGCGUAAUAGCUCACUAGUCGAGUCGGCCUGCGCGGAAGAUGUAACGGGGCUAAAACUAUGUGCCGAAGCUGCGGAUGUAUACUUUGUAUACGUGGUAGGGGAGCGUUCUGUAAGCCGAUGAAGGUGUGUUGAGAAGCAUGCUGGAGGUAUCAGAAGUGCGAAUGCUGACGUGAGUAACGACAAAACGGGUGAAAAACCCGUUCGCCGAAAGACCAAGGGUUCCAGUCCAACGUUAAUCGGGGCUGGGUGAGUCGACCCCUAAGGCGAGGCCGAAAGGCGUAGUCGAUGGGAAAAUGGUUAAUAUUCCAUUACUUCUGUGUAAUGCGAUGAGAGGACGGAGAAGGCUAAAUCAGCCUGGCGUUGGUUGUCCAGGUGAAAGGAUGUAGGCAUGUAUCUUAGGCAAAUCCGGGGUACUCUAUGCUGAGAUCUGAUAGCAAGCUGUACUUGUACAGCGAAGUGGUUGAUGCCAUGCUUCCAGGAAAAGUCUCUAAGCUUCAGUUACACAGGAAUCGUACCCGAAACCGACACAGGUGGUCAGGUCGAGUAGACCAAGGCGCUUGAGAGAACUCUGCUGAAGGAACUAGGCAAAAUGGUACCGUAACUUCGGGAGAAGGUACGCUGUUGUUGGUGAUGGAACUCGCUUCCUGAGCUGACGACAGCCGCAGAAACCAGGCCGCUGCAACUGUUUAUUAAAAACAUAGCACUCUGCAAACACGAAAGUGGACGUAUAGGGUGUGAUGCCUGCCCGGUGCUGGAAGGUUAAUUGAUGGGGUUAGCGUAAGCGAAGCUCUUGAUCGAAGCCCCAGUAAACGGCGGCCGUAACUAUAACGGUCCUAAGGUAGCGAAAUUCCUUGUCGGGUAAGUUCCGACCUGCACGAAUGGCAUAAUGAUGGCGGCGCUGUCUCCAGCAGAGGCUCAGUGAAAUCGAAAUCGCUGUGAAGAUGCAGUGUACCCGCGGCUAGACGGAAAGACCCCGUGAACCUUUACUGCAGCUUGACACUGAACUUUGACCUUACUUGUGUAGGAUAGGUGGGAGGCUUUGAAGCUGGAACGCUAGUUCCAGUGGAGCCGUCCUUGAAAUACCACCCUGGUAAUGUUGAGGUUCUAACUCUGUCCCGUGAUCCGGGACGAGGACCGUGUCUGGUGGGUAGUUUGACUGGGGCGGUCUCCUCCUAAAGAGUAACGGAGGAGUACGAAGGUGCGCUCAGCGUGGUCGGAAAUCACGCGUAGAGUAUAAAGGCAAAAGCGCGCUUAACUGCGAGACCCACAAGUCGAGCAGGUACGAAAGUAGGUCUUAGUGAUCCGGUGGUUCUGUAUGGAAGGGCCAUCGCUCAACGGAUAAAAGGUACUCUGGGGAUAACAGGCUGAUACCGCCCAAGAGUUCAUAUCGACGGCGGUGUUUGGCACCUCGAUGUCGGCUCAUCUCAUCCUGGGGCUGAAGCAGGUCCCAAGGGUAUGGCUGUUCGCCAUUUAAAGAGGUACGCGAGCUGGGUUUAGAACGUCGUGAGACAGUUCGGUCCCUAUCUACCGUGGGCGCUGGAAAUUUGAGAGGAUCUGCUCCUAGUACGAGAGGACCAGAGUGGACGAACCUCUGGUGUACCGGUUGUGACGCCAGUCGCAUCGCCGGGUAGCUAUGUUCGGAAGGGAUAACCGCUGAAAGCAUCUAAGCGGGAAGCCUACCUCAAGAUAAGAUUUCCCUAGGACUUUAUGUCCUCUAAAGAGCCGUUCGAGACUAGGACGUUGAUAGGUUGGAUGUGGAAGCAUAGUGAUAUGUGAAGCUGACCAAUACUAAUUGCUCGUGAGGCUUGACU